UGUACUUUCACUUUCACUUGCUCGUUGUUCAGGCGAUUUAUGAGAAAUUGUCUGAUCUCAGAUCGUUCGUCUAACCGGAUAAACGAGCCAGUAGUAAACGAGAUGAAGACUUGAGUGUUUUAAUAUUUUGGAACAUAUUAUAGUUCAUUUUAACCGCUAUAGUGAAAGUAUCUAUUUUUUUAUUUAUUUUCCUAUCGUAUCCUGCAGUCGGGCAUUUCGACAGCUGAGGUUUUUUCAGCAGGAUGUUUACUCGCAAAUAGACUUUUUUUUGUUUGCUGCUCACUCAUAAAAAAGUUCUGUUGAACAGAAAUGCUCUUAACUACCAUUUAAACGCAGAUCGGUGCUGCUUUUAGCCGAAGAAAACUCAAUUUAGGAUGAUUUCCCUUAUAAGUUCUGCGAUGGAGUUCACAGACGAGGAGAAAAUAUGGCUGCAAAGACUAUCUGCUGAAAUACCUGAAGGAAAUGAACUCACUCCAAAGGAGAAGCAAUUACGGGAGAAAGCAAAGCCAGAGACUGAAUUUCAGGCCCAGCUCUUCCAAGCUAUGGCCUCCAUAAGAUUUGCACUGAAUGAUUCAAUAACCUCAACAAUAGAGGUGAAAAACUCUGUCCAUCAGAGAAGCAAUGUCUCGUCACUAUGUGGAUAGUCAUCAAAUGCCAAGAUGAUGACAUGUUUAUAUUUUUCAUGAUCUCACCUGGGUAUUGUUAUCUUAUUAAUGAUUUAUUAGUGGAUGUCAGGUUUAGAUUAUACUUGCUAUACACCAGGGAAUGUGACGGCAUUAUGUUUUUUUGACCUCAGCUCAUGAAAUGAUUCAUCAGUUAAGCACAAAUGGAUGCUUCAUUGCUGUGCAAAGUUGAGAAACUUUGAGAAUAUAAUGCUAUUGCUGUUUGCAUGCUCUUUUAUAGUUGUAUGAUCUAUGAAAUCACUGCAAAAUGAAACCAGGUUGUUUUUGUUUUUAAAACGUCAUUGGUGCUUUUUUCCACAUACAUGCUAAUGCUUUUGAAAUGAUGCCAAGUGAAGGUUCUUCAGAAACUCAGUAUGCAUGUCUUUUAUCAUGCUCACAGGGAUGAUAACAUCUCUACCUCAUUCAAAAUACAAUAAAAAACAGUACAAUGCAUUUUUUUCUUUUGUACACAUGUAUAAGAAAUUGGACCAUGAUAUUUGGACAAAAGUAGAUUUGAACUUUCAGAUGUUUGUUUCAACACCGUUUACUUUGAUUACCAUCCAUGGUCCAAAACAAAUGUUAUUUCCAAAAAUGUAUGUACAUUCCACUCUGUUUCCACAUUUAGCCUAACAUAAAAAAAAAAAAAAAAUUGACUGUACUUGUAAUGAAUAAAAAUUCAAACGAA